UACGGAGGGGGCUAGCGUUGUUCGGAAUUACUGGGCGUAAAGCGCACGUAGGCGGCUUUGUAAGUUAGAGGUGAAAGCCCGGGGCUCAACUCCGGAAUUGCCUUUAAGACUGCAUCGCUAGAAUUGUGGAGAGGUGAGUGGAAUUCCCAGUGUAGAGGUGAAAUUCGUAGAUAUUGGGAAGAACACCGGUGGCGAAGGCGGCUCACUGGCUCGUAACUGACGCUCAGGCGCGACAGCGUGGGGAUCAAACAGG
rnacentral:rRNA from 1 species